rnacentral:rRNA from 1 species
GUGAACGCUGGCGGUAGGCCUAACACAUGCAAGUCGAACGGCAGCACAGGAGAGCUUGCCUCUCGUGGGUGGCGAGUGGCGGACGGGUGAGGAAUACAUCGGAAUCUACUCUGUCGUGGGGGGAUAACGGUAGGGAAACUUACGCUAAUACCGCAUACGACCUACGGGUGAAAGUGGGGGACCGCAAGGCCUCACGCGAUUGAAUGAGCCGAUGUCGGAUUAGCUAGUUGGCGGGGUAAAGCCCACCAAGGCGACGAUCCGUAGCUGGUCUGAGAGGAUGAUCAGCCACACUGGAACUGAGACACGGUCCAGACUCCUACGGGAGGCAGCAGUGGGGAAUAUUGGACAAUGGGCGCAAGCCUGAUCCAGCCAUACCGCGUGAGUGAAGAAGGCCCUCGGGUUGUAAAGCUCUUUUGUUGGGAAAGAAAUCCUGUUGGUUAAUACCUGGCAGGGAUGACGGUACCCAAAGAAUAAGCACCGGCUAACUUCGUG